CGAUUUUUUUUAGGGUGCCCGAUACGAGUCACAUCCGCUUUUUAAAUUCCUAAAAUCAAUAGUACCUCAUGAACCAAAAUUUGAGUAGGGGCUCUUUUACGUAAUUUCAAUUGAAACUCAAAGGGCAUUCUCAAUACUCUGUCUCUCUCUCCUUAUGCCCUCUCUCUCUCUCUCCGUUCACAUUAUUCGUUCAACACUAUUCAUUUUUGUUUCGUUUUUGUGAUUCUCGGCCCCCUUCUGUAUCUUUUCAAUCAUCCAUCCAUUUUCUCUCUCUGCACUUCUUAGAGAGAGAAACACAGCAAGGGCUCUUCUUCCUCUUCAUCCUGCACUUCAGCUUUGCCUCCACUUUUUUUUCUCUUUAAAUAGCUCAAAAUCCCCUCUCUCUAACACUCUUUUAUCUCGUUUAUCUCUCCUCGUUUUAGGGCAGGUUUUAGGGCAUUCAGAUCUUCAAGUUCACCCGUAUUUGUAUCCUCAAGCUUUCUCACUCUCGAAUCAAGAUGUUUUGGCGCAUGACUGGAUUGUCCGCUGCUUCGCCUGUGAGUAAAACAUCUACUUGGUUUUUACCGAGUUUUAGUUUUGUGUAUUUAUCAUA
rnacentral:lncRNA from 1 species